GCGCCCGUAGCUCAGCUGGAUAGAGCAACGGAUUUCUAAUCCGUCGGUCGGGGGUUCGAAUCCCUCCGGGCGUA
rnacentral:tRNA from 1 species